CGUACGGGUGAGUAACACGUGGAUGAUCUACCUUUUAGUGGGGAAUACCGCUGGGAAACCGGCGACAAUACCGCAUAAGCCCGAGAGGGGAAAGCAGCAAUGCGCUAGAAGAGGAGUCCGCGGCUGAUUAGCUAGUUGGUGAGGUAAGAGCUCACCAAGGCAACGAUCAGUAGCCGGCCUGAGAGGGCACACGGCCACACUGGCACUGAAACACGGGCCAG
rnacentral:rRNA from 1 species